UUUCUUCAGACUCUGGGACCUUGAUUUCCAAAUAAAAUGCAAAUCUUACUUUAAUCUGAGAAGCGAACUUUGGACCAUUGAGUAACAGUCCAGUUCUUUUUCUGCAUAGCCCAGGUAAGAUGGAUCUAAUAUUCGCUUGACACUAGAAAUCCAUGUGUAUAAUUUGUUUGAGCAUUGUAACUCCUGAGGUGCUGACUCCAGCCUCAGUCCACUGCUUGUGACCUUUUCCUAGCACACUUUUUCCUUCCACUCAACUUCCUAUGAAUAGGUUUGGAUUCAGCACACUGUGAACCAGGUUGUUUGGCAAUGAGCUUUUGUGGCUUACCCUCCUUGUGGAUGGUGUCAAUGACUGUCCCCAUGAUCAUGUCUGCCUGCUGACCCAGACUGAGACCAUUUAUUUGCUCAGUUUUGAGUUAUUUAGCUGAUUAGGGUGUGACACCAUGAGUUUCCAAUAUUGAGCCUUUUAACAAAAAUAAAAAUUUUAGAGACACUGAAUUUUGGGUUGUCAUUAUCUGUAAGCCAAAUUCAUCAGAAACAAGAAAUUAAAAGGUUUGAAAUAUAUAUUUUAUUUGUCUGAUGAGUUCCUCGAUCUUCAUGAUGCUGUUUGUUCUCGAAUGUUCUCCAACAAUCCUUUAAAGCCUUCAAAGAACAGUUGGAUUUACACUGAGGGUAUAUCACUCAACUCAUUUAUAAGAAAUUGAUCAACUAAAAAACUGAUAACUAGUUUCAUCAAAUAUUAUUUAGGGGUGUCAGAGUAAAGUCGGCUUAAGAUUUAUACAUGUAUUAUUUAACUUACCUUUGACAGUUAUGGCCUGGUUUGUGUUGAUCUUUCGAAUAAAUACACUGACGUUUGUAGCUGCAAUGUGCCAAAAUCUAUUGUGUACUGUAAAAAUAUGUAAUGCAUUCAGUAAACCACCGUUGUGUCUCCAUAACUGACUGGACUGUGCACAAAAAUAAAAUUUUUAUGUGAUAUCUCUGUAUCAAACCUGUCUUGCGUUUACUUCGAUUGACAAGUAAGCAUUAAAUGAGGAGAGAAUAGAAAUAUAGUUGAACUAAAGACCAUCUGGGUGUUGUAAAGAGGGUGUGGACCAUUACUGGAAUGUGGCAAUCAGGUUAAGAGAAGAUAAGGAGGAAAAAAGUUCUCUGGUUCAACCCAGAUGUCAUCACGGUAUGCUAAUGAGCUGAGGGGGGCCCUCUUUAAGUGUCGGAGCCCGACAGACAGGGCAGUUAGGAGAUGUAGACCAGACGUCCAUACCGUAAUGAAGACAUCUAUCGACAACAACAUGCAAACAGAUUCCAAACAAUCUGGGGACUAGCUGCAUGAUGGUUCUGUCUUGUGCCCUGGACAGGAUAUCAUCUUAUACUGUAAGUUUUUUAAAGAGACACUACAGUAUAGAUGAUGUACUAUCCAGGGUAUCAUUCCACCUCCGCUGGAGCCAGAGAAGACGUAGGCUGUAAUGUUUGGAGGGCCGAACACACAACCGAGGGGGGCAGUUAAACCGUUACCAUUACUGAGUUUUAGUAAUGGUAAGGGUUCUACGGCCUUCACUCAAUGUCAUCGAAGGAAAGGACACACUCGUGUGUUGUGUUGUUAAAUUCAAAGAAAUAAUGUCAAAUAAAGAUGAUGGAUGUCUCCCUUA